CAGCCGCCGCGGUAAUACGGAGGGAGCUAGCGUUGUUCGGAAUUACUGGGCGUAAAGCGCACGUAGGCGGUUAUUCAAGUCAGAGGUGAAAGCCCGGGGCUCAACCCCGGAACUGCCUUUGAAACUAGAUGACUGGAAUCUUGGAGAGGUCAGUGGGAUUCCGAGUGUAGAGGUGAAAUUCGUAGAUAUUCGGAAGAACACCAGUGGCGAAGGCGACUGACUGGACAAGUAUUGACGCUGAGGUGCGAAAGCGUGGGGAGCAAACAGGAUUAGAUACCCGCGUAGUCCCUGUCUCUUAUAC
rnacentral:rRNA from 1 species